ACCCCGGUAUUAUUGCUGUUAUGGGUUUGAUUUGAGCUUAGCGUUGUUCAUUUUUUUACACAACACCCCCGUAAAAAAUACAACACGCCCCGCUCAAGCCUGCGGCCGCCAAAGACCCCGAAGGUAUAAAAAUGCCCCAAAGCGCCUCAAAAAUGCCCUUGGAGCGCUUUUUUAGGGCAA
rfam:Pseudomonas fluorescens HK44 Contig19, whole genome shotgun sequence.